AGCUCCAAUAGCGUAUAUUAAAGUUGUUGCAGUUAAAAAGCUCGUAGUUGGAUUUGUGGUUGUCGCGUGCUGUCUCGCACUCUGUGUGAGAUUAGCUAGCGUCGCCAUCCUUGGGUGGAACCAGUGUGGCAUUAGGUUGUCGUGUUGGGGAUGCCCAUCAUUUACUGUGAAAAAAUUAGAGUGUUCAAAGCAGGCUUAUGCCGUUGAAUAUAUUAGCAUGGAAUAAUAAGAUAGGACCUUGGUACUAUUUUGUUGGUUUGCGCACUAAGGUAAUGAUUAAUAGGGACAGUUGGGGGUAUUCGUAUUCCAUUGUCAGAGGUGAAAUUCUUGGAUUUUUGGAAGACGAACUACUGCGAAAGCAUUUACCAAGGAUGUUUUCAUUAAUCAAGAACGAAAGUAG
rnacentral:rRNA from 1 species